GAGCGGUGUGCUGGGGGGGGGCAGCCCUGGCAGCCCUGGGCCUGGAGGGUCCGGGGACCAGCCAGGCUGGCCUCUCAGAGUGAGGAGGGGAGGCCCGGAGGCCAGGUGGGCCAGGGAGGAGGUGGGGCCCGGAGUCGAAUCGGGGAGGCGUCUUGGGGUCUGCUGGGCAGGGGGCCUUCUCCUGCACCUCCCCAGGCUCCUCGCUCCUCUCCUCCACAUCUCCACUUUUCAUGCCUCUCCCCCUAGGAUGCCAAAUUUGGCUCACGCAAUCUGUCGUCUCUCUUCUGAGAUUGGCACCGGGACCAAAGCCGAGCGCAUUACAUCACCGCCGCUCCCCCUGCACGAGGAGAGAAGGAGAGGGAGGGACAGAGGGCUGGGGGCAAGCGGCCAACCCUCAACUUUCUUUCCUGUCUUCCUGCUCACUCUUCUCCCUCCGUCCCGGGUAUCAGGGGCUCCUGGGAGCAGCCAGGCAGGGCCGAGAGGCCGUUGAGAGCUCUAAUCUUGGAGAUCUCCGGGCAGGGCAGGAGGUCAGACUGUGUUUCUGUCCCCUUGGCGAGGUGAGGCCCGGGAGGCAGGGAGCCUGAGUUCAGGACCCCAGUCUGCGGUGGCUUGGCUCUGUGACCUUGGGCAGCCCCCCCAGCCCCCACCCUGUGCAGAGUCUACAGCUGUAUCCAGAACGGUUGGCCAUUCAAGAUCUCGGUGACUCUCCUGAGAAAAGAUGCCCUUGAGUCCUGCUGCUCUCCUGGGCACAGAGAAGGAGUCCUGAAUUGCGAAUAGCUCUCUGUGGCCUUGAACAAGUGACUUUCCCUGUUUCUACCUCCAUCUCCUCACCUGUAAAAUGGGGAUGAUAGAACCCUCAAAAGCAAGAAACGGGAGAGAGGUACUGGACGCAAAAGAGGGGUUCAGGGGGAAGAGACAGAGUCUCUGGCCUGAAACCAGACACUCGGGAGCCCCAUGGGUCCCAGCAUGCUGGGCUGGAGGUGAGGGGCCAGCCAUCCCAGCCGCUGGCAGGACGGGGUGUCGAUUCAAACCAGAUUUGUCGCUAAACUGCUGGUCUGAGGCCCAGAGUUUACAGACGUGGAAACUGAGACCCAGAAAGGGAAGUGGAUCCUCCACCCCCACCGCUAAGGUCACAGUGAUGAUCUGAGGGUGGAGGAAGCAGAGCUGGGUCCUAAACCCAGGCCUCCGGGAUCCCAGCCCUGCCUGGAAGUAGACAGAGACACAGGCAGAUACACACCCCCUGCGGAGGAUGCGGCCAGCCCGGCCAAGACCCGGAGUUUUGAGGGCCCAGUGCGCCCUUUGGCUCCCUCCCUUCUCCCUUCCUGCCCCCCGGCUGCCCCGUCUCCACCAUCCCUGGCCGUUCAUUCCACCCCUCAUUUGGUCUAUUUGAAGCGCUCCCUUUCAGGCUCAUUUGAAAGCCAGUUUCAGGCAGUCCCAGUCAGAGACAGGCUGGAGUUGGGGUUCAGAUGGAAGAUGAUCGCCCCUUCUAGAAGCUUCCCAGAACUGGAGGUAGAGAAAGACGGGGAGCAUCUGUCGGAUGUUUUAUGAAAGAGUGAGCUCCUCCUGCCCAGAGCUCUUCAAGUAGAACCAGUUGAGUACCUGCCAGGGAGCCUGACCGGGUGACUCCCGCUUCAUGGGUGAGAUUGAGUGACAUUCCCACCUCCCAGAUCUCGAGAGUCUGUGAUGUCUGGAGAGGAGCCGGGAGGCAGCCCCGGCACUUACUGGCUUCCCAGCAAGGAGGCUCACUCUGAUUCUCCGAGGCUGUCCCUGGGACUUCCUUGAGGAAGGAGUGGAAACGUCCCUCCCCUGGGCUGGGGCUUUGGCAGGAGAUGAUGUGUCGCCCCCACAGCGUGACACCCCCUCAGAGAUCCUCCAGGGGCUCCAUUCUGAAGACAUAGGAAUAGACAUGCGCCCAAGAGGAAAACGCAUUUUACAAAUGGGAAGACUGAGGCUCAGAGACAAAGAACGGCCUGCCUGAAGGUGCUGAAAGGGGCUAGAGAGUUAGACUGGGACCAGGGCUCUGUCGCCUUGCCCCCUCGGGGCCUUUGGGCUGAUGGUGGAGUGAGCUUUGGGACAAGGGGUGCAGACUGCUGACCGGUUUGGCAGGUGGCAGGGGAGUGCUGGCUCGAGGCUAGGGCCGUGGGUGGGGGAGUCAGCCUUGGGAACCAGGAAAAGGGAACAGGAAGAGGAACCAGCAGGGACAGCAGGUCCACCUCUGUCCUCCCUGGUCCUGCCCCAGGGCCACCCACAGUUGUCACUCUCCUGUGAGGCCGGAGGAAACUGUAGGUGGGACCUAUUUGGCAAAGAGAGGGUCUUGGAGCCAGCAGCCUUGGGCGUGGCUCCCUCUGUGACCUUGGGUCCGUUCAUCACCCUCUCUGAGCGUGGUUUGCCCAUCUGCGUGCCCAAGAAUCUGUACUAAAUCUUCUGUUCCCACGGAGUAGCUGCGGUUGCGCUGUCGUCUCAAGUGCUCCUCCCGUUCCCAGGAGGACCCUGGGCCCUGGGCGAGGGGCGGGCACGAAUCCUGGGGGUUGGCAUAACCUUUAAGCCUCCUCGGCGACUCAGCCCUCCUUGGGGUGCGGGGAGAUCUCUGAGCAGAGCCCUUCUUCUCCUUUUCAUCUUGAUUUUUCUCCUGCUCCCUCUGCGCCUCGCUACGUGGGCUGAUCGCUGCUCAAACUUUUAAUUCAGAUGGUAAUUGAAAUAAUAAUAUGGGCUGAGGCCCCUCUGCUUGUGACGCUGCAGCUGGUGGAGCUCAGCUAUGAAUAGACCUUGAGUCACACACGAGCGCGCGCUCCUGCAGGCGCGCACCCGGGGCUGACGGGGUGGUGGGUGGGGUGCAGCCAGAGGGGCAGGGGAGCUCACGCUCCAGCCUGCACUGGGUCUCGCCCCCACCCCUAUGCUCGAAGGCCUGGGCCGGCUCUGCCCCUGCAGCCGCCAUCUGGUCCCUGUGUCACACCUGACUCGGGGCAUCAGUGGUUCACUCGGCUCACAGAAGGGGAAACUGAGGUUCAGUGGAGGAGAGGCGCUGGCUCAACACAAAUAGACUCAAUUUGAACUGAUGGAUCUGGUCCUAAGAUCAUUGUUCCUUUUCAGGACACACAGGCCGGACAAGUGGGUGGAGGAAAGCUGGCUCGCCUGGGCAUCCUCCUGCCUCACCUCCUCCCAGCACACACCCCCUCGAACUCACACACGCUCUGGCUCACUAUCACACACACUUUCUCUCAUGUGCUCACACUCAUACACUCAUACAUGCAAGCUGCUUAGAUGGAUGGUGCUAUUGCUUGCAGAGGGGCAAAGGUUUUCCCAGGGGUCCAGCUGCAGGAAGGGGACAAGGCCCCCAUGCGCCAGGCUCUGUGCUGGGCUUUAUAUUCGUGAUCUUGCUUAGUCCUGUGACAGGCUUCACUCCCACUUUUCGGACCUGAAAACUGAGGCUCAUUGAGAAGCAAGGGUUUGCCCUAGGUCUGACGGGGAGAAAGAGCCAUAUGUCCUUUGUCCUGCUGGGAUGCACCCAGUUCCAGCCAUUCUGGGCCCCUCCGUUUGGCCUUCUGUAAGAGGGAAGGUGCAUCUCAGCAGCCGGGGCUCCCCUUCCUCUCCCUGGCCCCUUCCCCCACUCUGGCCUGCGGCUACCUGGCCAGUGGUUGACCAGCCCUACUGCCAGCAGCCAGAACAUCUGGCCCAUGAACCAGGGGAGGAGAGGUGCCUAAAAGGGGCACUGGCAGGUCAGGGAGAGGGGAUACCUAAGAAAGGUGGUUCUUGGUGGUCUAGACCCCGGCUGGAGCUGUAUAGGGAGUUGAUGUUGUCACGGCAACCUAUCAGCCAGCAGCUUGGGUCUAGGCCUGUUCUAGGUGGGCCCAGUGGGGGACCUCCAGAAGGGCAGAGGGGAGAGGCGGUGGGUCAUGGGUGCAGUUGGGCAGAAACACCCCCAGGCCUUGAACGAAGGAGGAAACUCUCCCCACCUUUACCCUGCAGCCCUGUUCUGCUCCUGUGUCUGCCUUUUCUCCAGCACUCUGCUAGGAGAGGGAACAGCAGAGCCCAGAGACCACGGUGCUUUGCCCAAGAUCACACAGCAAUGGCAACAGAGCUGGGGCUGGACCAGGGCUCCUCCUAAUUCCUCUGCCUUCCCCUCCCAGGGCUGUUGACACCCCCUGUCUCUCUCAGACACUCCCUGUGUCUCUGGAGGAAUGGGCUGAUCUUGGCCGCUCUUUCCUGGGAAAACCUCAGGUUGGAGAGAGGGAAGGGCCAGCACCCCCUUGUCACAGCGGGUGCAGCUGAGUGAGGAAGUUUGCCCAAGUCAGUCAGGCCUGCAUCUGGAUCCCACCUUAGCUAUUCACUUAUCCCAAGUGACAUUACACCAGGUCACCCUCCCCCCGGGAACCUCUCUUUGCUCCUCUGUGACACAGGGACAACCUGUGGUGAUGGGGAGGCAGGUGCCUGGCUUUUUCCUUUUGUUACCCCAUCUGUUCUCGGAGCCCUACCCCGCCUAGCUCUACUUGGGCUGCUAGGGUGGACAGGGACCUUAGCUAGGGGGCCCCUAGGGAGAAGGGCGUCCUUGCACUGUGAGGGGCUGAUCCCAUUCUACUGAUGGGGAGAUUGAGGCCUGGGGAGGGGAAUUGGCCCAGCCUGACCUCAGUGGCAGAAUUGGCACCAAGUUUUACCGUCUGGCCUCUGGGACACCCCAGCGAAGUCUCCUCCCCACCCCACCCUACAGCUCCUCUCCAACCCCCUGCCCCAAACAUCCUGUAGGUGCUUCUCUCCCACCGUGGGCCUAAGAAGAAGGGAGAGUGAAGGUGCCACUCAGCCUGAGCGACAGAUGGAAUGGGCCAGCAAUUUGGAAACUCCGUGAAGCCACAGGGGGGAGGUGGCCGGCGCAGAGCUAGAGGGGGCCCUGGCUGUAGGUGAUGUGGACGGGGACAGAAGGGGCUACACUCACUCUGACACAUGGGCACCAGAGCCCCCACACCCUUUGGAGGGGCGAUCACCAUCUCCUGGGAAGCCCACAUAUGUCUCGAGGGUUCUGCUAACUGAUGCACACUUCGGCCUUGGCUCUGCUCUCUGGGGCCCAAGGAAUCUAGCCUGUCCCCCUCCAAGAGGGUGGUCAGCUUUCCCUGGCUUCCCUGAGGCGUCUCGCCCCCAGCCUCCGUCGUCCCAGCUGAGGCCUGUGAAUGGGAAACGGGAGAUCUGGGUUCAAAUCCAGCUCCACCCUGGUGCAGCUGUGUGGCUUUGGGCAGACUUUUCACCUCUGAGCCUCUGCCCCCUGAACCAUAGGGUGGCUUGUACCCCUGCAUCUGAGAGUUAAUGGGAAGGUCUCUUGAGCCUGUUGUUGACAUGAGCUGCUGUGUCCUGACCACCCAGUGGCCACUCUGGGCAGACUUCCAGGUCCCUGGCCAUCACUUUCAGAUACUGCUUCUCUAGCUAUGUUGAGUGUGAGCACCUGACCUCUGCUGAGCCCUCCAGACCCACUUGGGUGGGGGCAGGGCUGGCUGAGCACCAGCGCCAGGCCGUGCAGCUGCAGAUCCUGAGGCCACCUGACCUUGGAAAGAGCCUCUCUCUGGCUGAGCUCCAGGGCCACCCCCCAGACAUGGGGCAGAAGCUGGCACCAGGGACAGGAGGGAACCAAGCAGGGCAGAGAGCAGGCCUGGAGCUGGCUCGGGUCCCUAAGGUGACAGGCCAGGAGACAGAGAGGAGAACAGACAGACAGACAGUCGUGGGGAGGACCUACAGUCACUAGCUGCAUUAAUAGCAUGGCAGAGCCCCGCCUCGCCACACUCUGGGGAACUGCCUGAGGAGGGGGUGAGCGCCGUGUCGUGGGAGAUGUGCAAGCAACCGCUGAAUGGCAUCUGCAGUGGGUUCUAACACAGGGCCGGGGGAAGGGAUUGGACCCCAGAACCCAGAGUCCCUGUUGUUUGGGCCACAGUACAGAGCUCCUGUGACCCUAAGGGCCACGGUUCCAAAUAUCCUCCCAUGACCUUGAACAGCUCUCCCCACAGUUGUGCCCCUCAAAAGCCUGUGAUCCAAGGACAGUCAGUUGCAACUUCAAGAGAAGCCCUAGAUCCCAUCUCAACCUAUUCACAGCUCCUAGGCACCCUAAAGGUAGGUGUUUUUCAAAUGGCGUGCAGGUCCUGACCCAGUAGUGGUUGUGAAACUGAGUUAGGGAGUCC
rnacentral:lncRNA from 1 species